AGUAAAGAUUAAAUGUGCUUUCUCAAAGGCAGCCACUUCAUGCUGCUAUGUCGAAAGGGCUAUUAUUAUUAUUAAUAUGAGAGAGAGAGAGGGAGAGAGAGAGGGAGAGAGAGAGACUAGGUAUGGUGAUGACGGUCUGGCUUUUCGGAGAGCAAAAGGGAGAGAAAAAAGGAGAGACCAUGAGCUGAACCAAGGACUGUGUAUGAGCUGAACCUACAGAGGAAAGCGCCGCUUCCAGGCAGAGGAGGUUCGAGAAAGCGACUCUAUCAGGUACAGCACUAGUAGCUGUCUGUGAAGAUGGAGGGGGAUUACGCCUCGGAUUCUUCUGAAAUAUUGGCCAAAGGCUUCAAAGGAUCCGCAGCGGGAGGCGAGGGUGGGGGAGCAUCUCCCCAGCUCGCACCCACCCCUUCCCACUUUGCGUCUACCAAAUGACAGGCUGGUGCUCGCUCUGGGUGAUUUUGGCCUUGGCCUCAGCCAAGCAGCUGAUGCAGAGGAGGGCCAGCUUUGCAAGACUGACAGAACUCUGAAUGCUAGAGAAAGAAGAAGAAAAAGAAAAAGAAUUUUUUUUUUCCGAGCAGUCCUUGGGAGAUUUUCUCGUUCUCUCUCGAUUUAUUUAUUUAUUUCUAUUUUUUUUAACCGACUAUUUUCCAAAUUCGAUCAGCCCCAGCCCCUCCCUCCACUCCCACCCAACAGCCUUCCCCCCACCCCCCACCCCCGGUCAAAGCAUAAACCACAGAGUUACGGUCUUCUUUGGAUUUUGGAGUAUCGCUUCCUGCCCCCGCCUUCCCUCCCCGCCCCAUUCUCUGUCCUAUUGAACACCUCGCCCAGCCUAGAGCUCACAUUCUCCCCCUGCUCCCGAUGGCGCUCCUGGAAGCUCUGCAACUAUGCUCCACUUCAAAUGGACCCAUAACUGGUGUUACACCCCCACUCCCUGCCACCACAAAUACUGAGUCCAUUCCAGGAAUAGAAACCGCCGAAGGAUUACAUUCUCCACGGAGAACGAUCUCUAUGAAGGUGUGCAAUGUCUGUGAAAUACGGUGCCAACAAAAGAAUUCCAAACUGUGGCAGUCUUUUCAUGAGAUAAUCACAUAUAAAAUCAGGAUUGUUUCUUUUACAAAUGGGAGUCUACGACGAAUCCAUUGUUCUUCAAAGGCAGGAAAGGGCUCUUACUUAUUAUUGGGCUAGUCCUCAUUACGGCCACCUGAAUGAAUCCAAAGUACUUCCAAAAAUAAAUGGUUUCAUGACUUUUGUAUGUUUAAACACCUAGGCUUUUGUUUAUUUUUUCAAGUCUGAUAUUUUCCACCUCAUUAUUCACCUCUUAAAACGUCUGUAUCCGGCUGGGCCAUUUUAAACAAGUUUGCUGAUGGCUUGCUUUGCCCUCCUGGAAUUGUUUGGUUUCCUUGUUAAGGUGAAGAAUGUUGUAAAAGGGGCAGUCUCCUAAGUUGUGACCUCAAAGGGUGGUGUCUGAAUCUCUCCUCUUUUGUGUCUGAUCAGGAAGAAGAUGGACAAUGUCUAUACGCCAUCUUCAGUUGGUAACGCUGUGGCAGUUAGCAUAACCAGUGCUAGGCAAGAUUCAACCGCACUGGCUGCGGUAUGCGUGGCCAACCGGAGUGAGGACAAAUCCCAUUCCGUCUGAAGACUGUCUCCUGCCAGAGAUCAAAUGCAGCUCGCACAUACAUGACACCAAGCAGAAGCAAGUACUAUUCCAUUACAAAUGAAGCAGAGAGAGCCAGAAUUAUUUGGUCAGCUUGGUAUUCAAAAUGGUUGAGAUUCUGACCUUCCCACUCCUUCCUUAAUUAUCUUGAUAAUUUUGGCAAGAGGAGGUUUGUGGGGUGGAGAGGGAUAAUUCUGAAAGAAUUAAAUAAUUAUAGCAGUCAGGAAAUCCAUCCAGGGUUUUAUAAAUUCCUGCAUAAUAGUUCAAAAUCUCUUGAUUUUUCAUCGUGUAUAAGCUAAAUUCAUUAGCACAUACCUUAGAUCAUCUGUUAGAUGCCUAGCAGUGUAAAAACACAGGGCCUGUGAAGUGUUUUUUUUGGUUUUGUUUUGUUUUUAAUCUUGACUUUUACAGAAUAAAAACUACCACCACCAACAACAACAAGAGAACAGACAUGUUGCAUUUAAAAUUGUACCUAUUUCUUUCUGGCUCUCAGCUUUUCUUUUAAUGCCGCAGUAAUACCACUGUUCAUUUCCUGUUCAACUUCAAACCUACCUUUUGAUUCUUCCAAUGUCCCUUAGGCUAAUGUUUUCACAAAGAAUGAAAUGAACAGACAGAAACAAUUAAGUGAGCAGAUACAGUGAAAAGGAACACCGGCUGCCGCUUUCACACGACUGGAAGUGUAGGAAUGAAUUCUGCUUGGAAUCUGAUCCUCCAGCCACAGGGCUUUUGCUGCUCACAUCAUUUUUCUUCUGCAAACCCCCCUCAGCCCCCAGUGUACUGCACGCCACUUUUCCUUUAUGGAAGGAAAAGAUCGAGGCACACAAAGAAAGGCCCAAAUACUCACAGGCACGGGAAAUAUUUUCUCUGCCUGUUACUAGGACCGGAUAAGCUCCAAGAAAGAAAAUCCACCUAGAUAUUUUAAACUGGGGAAUGUCUCCCCAAAGCCUGGUAAAUGUUCACAUGUGUCUUCAUGAAAUUUGUAAUAUGGAUUGUUUACACAGCCCUGAUUGAGGGCAUGAGCACCAUUAAAAAGGAUCAAGUCGGUUUAGGGAUGGAAAAUUGUAGAAACCAGAGCUGUUAUCCACAAGGAGAAGUGUAGGUUUUGGUUUCUUUGAAACAAUAAUACGCAGGACUUGAUAUUAAAAGGUAUUUCAACAGCCAAGAGUAAGCUGUUGGUGACCCUUCGAAGUUCUAUAAGGAAUCAACAAGGUGGUAAGUCACUCUCCUCAAACAGGUCUGAAGGCAAGUGUUGAUGACAUGGCUGGGGCUCUAUGACAUCUCCUUCUCUCUCUUUCCAGUAGCACACUAAGAGAUUUUCCAUGGCGGGAGCUCGGCACUCCUGGAGUGGGGUUUACUUUGUUCAGGCGUUGUGUUGGUAUUUGAGGAGACUGGCUACAACUCCACAAGGCGGUUGCUGAGGAUGGAGCCUCUGUGUAUCUCAGAAGACUGCAGUUCUUACUGCUAGGAGACUGCAUGGCUAGUUCCCUCUGAGUUAAGCUUCUAUUUUUGAAGCCCAGAUGCAAUAAGGAGGUGCCUAUGAUAGACACAGAAUACAAACCCCACACAGCUUAAAGCUGGCAGAUGUCUUCUGCAAAACGAUGCCACACCUUGACCCUGAAUGAGGAAGAAGGCAGGGAUCCAUAGGAUUAUCCGGAGUGGAAAACAUGGCUUCCACUUCUAAUUUGUUUUUUAAAAACGGAAUCAUACCUAUGAAUUUCUUAAUAAAAUAUCUUUCUUGUAAAAUGUA
rnacentral:lncRNA from 1 species